CAGUUGAUCCACAGGACUAUUCAAAUGGAGGGUUCAAGCCUUGUGCUUUGUUGCUUUGCUGCACUGGACUGAUUAGGUGAUGAGAAUGGAUGGGACUAAGACGGCUCAACAAUUACCUUAUGGAAAUCUAAAGACAGCAAACCAUGAACCAGACACACAGAAAGACAAAAACGUUUCCAAGACACACCAGGAGGGAUGUUCCACUGUUUAAAAUGGUGACAUUGGGCUGGAAGCAUAAGCCAUAUGAACCCUUUGGGGAGCAAAGGAAAUCUAACUACCUUAAUCCAGAUGGUUUCUCUUUAAAGAUUCUUCAACAAGACUUUU
rnacentral:lncRNA from 1 species